rnacentral:rRNA from 1 species
CCUACGGGUGGCAGCAGUGGGGAAUAUUGCACAAUGGGGGAAACCCUGAUGCAGCGACGCCGCGUGAGUGAAGAAGUAUCUCGGUACGUAAAGCCCUAUCAGCAGGGAAGAAGAAAUGACGGUACCUGCGUACGCAGCACCGGCUCAAUACGUGCCAGCAGCCGCGGUCAUACGUAUGGUGCAAGCGUUAUCCGGAUUUACUGGGUGUAAAGGGAGCGCAGGCGGCACGGCAAGCCUGAUGUGAAAGCCCGCGGCCCAACCGCGGGACUGCAGUGGGAACUACCGGGCUGGAGUGCCGGAGAGGUAGGCGGAAUGCGUAGUGUAGCGGUGAAAUGCGUAGAUAUUAGGAGGAACACCAGUGGCGAAGGCGGCCUACUGGACGGUGACUGACGCUGAGGCUCGAAAGCGUGGGGAGCAAACAGGAUUAGAUACCCCAGUAGUC